rnacentral:lncRNA from 12 species
GGGGUCAAGCAUUCUGCAUAAAAAUACCGUGGAGAAGUCUUAUAUUCAAAGCAAUGCUAUCUUGUCAACAGAAAUACCUUGACUGUCUGACUCCAGCUGGUGAGGAGACAGGGCACAGCGAGCCACAUCUAAUCCCAGGACUUUAGGAGCGAAGGGGAGGGAUGUUUUUUUGGGCUAUGUUAUCAAACACAGAAAGGAGUGGCUAAGAUGAGCGCUAUAUAAACCCCAUUUAUUCAUCACCCCCAGAUCUGUUACUUUCUCCUUCACGUUCCUGUGUUGCCCUCAUCCUCAUUGACUUCCAAACUCUCUGGUGAAGCUUUCCUCACCUCGGUUACUCCAUCAUAACACCCCUUGGCUAAAGGACAACCCUUGCCACACACACUGGGCAGCCCAGACUCACCUCUGAACCCCUUCAACUGGUGCCAGGUCCACCGGAGAACGGCUCAACAUGCCUGAGCCCACAAAGAAAGAUGAUGGCCAACCUGAAGAGAAUGUUGCCCCAGACUCUGGUGAUGGCCCAUCUGAGAAUUCGGUUGUGAUGACCCCGAAAGGUAGGUGUUCAACCAUGUGUUUCCCCUCCCUGGGUUUCUUUCGCUUCCCAGUUUCACCCACAGCACUCUUACCUCACGUGUGUGAGAGUGUUUGUGUUUGUUCCACUGUGAUUUCCACCAAAAUAUCACUUUGUGAUCACAACAGUUCAGGUAAAUCAGCACAUGAACUACAAGUGUACAAACUACAGUAUACACACACACACAAGCACAAGCCUUUUUUAUGGGCUUAUAAGGGUUCAGACUGACAUACACAAAUGAAUGACCCACACCUUAACCCACACCUGCGUCAGUACUAAUACCUAUUCUGGUUUAUGGAUGGCAGGAUUUUGUUGUGCAAAUGCACAUCAGUAUAUGGAGAAGUUUUAUGUGAAGGUAUAGUAUAUGAAAAGAAGCAAAGGACACCCACAGAAAGACACCUGUGCAGGCAUUAACCAUUUACUGUGCUUUUAAAAUCAAAUUCACAACGACUGUGGUUGUUAUGUACAAAUAUAUGGAUAUUUAAAAAUUUCUAUGUAGAAUAUUUUAAAAUAAUAUUUUUUAUUUUAUUUUAAAGUAUAUAUUUAAUAUAAAGCAUAUUUUAAAUAAAUAUAUACUAAACUUAGUGCAUUUAUAAACUUUUGUGUAAGAGAAUUUGUUUUUUUAAUUAUUGACUAUAGUUUUUCUGUAUAAACAUACUGUAUGGAUUUUAAAAUAUGUAUAAAGUAUUUAAAUAAAGUAUAAUAAACUAUAAAUUAUAAUAAACUAUAAAUAAAUAAAUAUACACAUUUUGUGCAGGAUAAUUCAUUCUCAUAAUUGACUACAGUUGUUGUUUACAAACAUUUAUAUUC